rnacentral:rRNA from 1 species
GGCGGCAUGCCUAAUACAUGCAAGUCGAACGAGCUUCCGUUGAAUGACGUGCUUGCACUGAUUUCAACAAUGAAGCGAGUGGCGAACUGGUGAGUAACACGUGGGGAAUCUGCCCAGAAGCAGGGGAUAACACUUGGAAACAGGUGCUAAUACCGUAUAACAACAAAAUCCGCAUGGAUUUUGUUUGAAAGGUGGCUUCGGCUAUCACUUCUGGAUGAUCCCGCGGCGUAUUAGUUAGUUGGUGAGGUAAAGGCCCACCAAGACGAUGAUACGUAGCCGACCUGAGAGGGUAAUCGGCCACAUUGGGACUGAGACACGGCCCAAACUCCUACGGGAGGCAGCAGUAGGGAAUCUUCCACAAUGGACGAAAGUCUGAUGGAGCAAUGCCGCGUGAGUGAAGAAGGGUUUCGGCUCGUAAAACUCUGUUGUUAAAGAAGAACACCUUUGAGAGUAACUGUUCAAGGGUUGACGGUAUUUAACCAGAAAGCCACGGCUAACUACGUG